UGAAAUUCAGAACUUUUUCAAGGUUUGUUGGCAGUGCAAAUGGCAAGUUACUGUGGACUAGAUGAAGUGAUGCUGCCACAAGUGGGACGUGAAAGAUGAGGAGGCAACGACAGCUCUCAGGGUGCAGACGGAUGCACUCCACUGCAGUGCAGGACAGUUGUAUUCUGUUCAGUCCACAAUUGCUGCAUCAUUUCAGCCCAGUCAAGCAAGCCAUGCUACCAGGAACAGGGCAAUAUCACCUGUGAGUGAUGCAAAAGCAGCUGGAGAAGGAGAUGAAGACAAUCAAGGAUUAGUUGCUGUGGCAUUUUGGCAGGAUAUUGAACUAGCUCCUGAGGACAACCAAGCCAUGUUCAACUGGAGUUGAGAGCUACUGCAUGACAGGGACAGGAAACUGGGGUAGAUUCUCUUCCCCAGAAAUGAUCCUCUGGUGAAAGAGGACUAAUAACUAUGAGGAGAAAAGAAAUAUAAGGACAAUCUUAGUAAGGGACAGAAAAUUCCAGGCCUUUUUAUGGUCCCCUGACUCCCUUGCCAAGCAGCUGUAUCCUGCUGCAGAAGGGUAAUCCUGCACAGACAGCAGCCAGCCACGGAAGGCAUUUUAAGAGCAGGGUGUAUAUGAUUUCAGUACUUCAUCUCCAGGCCUUGGUGGAGGAAAAGAAGCAGAGAAAAUGUCCUGAUGGGUAGAAGCAGGCAUAGAUAGAUGGGAUGGUCUUUCAUCAUAGUUUUUUAUGGUGUGGCACCCAGGCUGAACACAUUCAUUUGUAGUGCAUUGCACGGUGUGUGAGCGCUCAGCAGACAUAGGCAGGUAUCUGAAAUCAAGGUAUUCAUGGAGAUCAGGAGCAGAAUGACCUAAAUGUGAUCACAAAUAAGCUUUAGUGUUGCACUGCAGGACAGUAACUCCCACACUGAAGCAAAGAGGGGGUUUGAAGGUGUGGGCUGCUGGCUUUGUGCACUGUGGCAAGGACCUACACACUGAUGUUUAUAAAACAUCCUAAAGAGUGCCUGCAAAAAGCACUGGGGUUCAGCAAGGGCUGACUAGCUCUCCAACACAUUGCAUUUCAAUUUAGGGAGUGAGGCACCUGAAUUAGGCUUGGGCCAACCAGCAGCAGUUCAAACCUUGUUGGUUGUGCCAGGCUGCACCUGUGAAGAUUUAGCUUGAGCAAAGUACUGUGCUGAGGCUACCACAGCCUGGGCAGGCUUUGCUGGUGGGACUUUCUGAAGAGAGUGGAAAAAUACUAAGCUGGACAAGCAGGGAAAGCAAGGAGGAGAUAUUGAAGACUAUUCUGUAAAGAACCCAACUAUGGAAAAUUGCCUGGAAACAAACUUCCUGAGAGCAAAUUCUUGCACGUGAAACGCUGUACUGUGAUAGGGGGUCAAAAAAAAAAUUAUUAUUGACUUUGCAGGUGAAUGACUGAAGUGCCAACAUGAAAAAAUGAGCUCUUGGUUUGCCAUAGAGGUAUUUGCUAAGCUUUCAUGUGUUGAGCAACAGGAAUGCAAAACCUCUUUCAGUGUGGUGACAAGAGGCAUCAGAGCAGUAGGAGUACUCAUCUGAAUUAAAAAUCAACUUUUGCUAGACUGGUGUUCCUGGCAGGUUGCACCUGCUUCCCACCCCAUGCCUUGCUGCCACUCUGUCUGGAGCAACGUGCUCUUAACAAUAGCUGGUGGCUGGAAGGUACAGCGUGUGCUGCAUGCUCAUUUCCCCUUCCUCCCACCCUGAUUGUUAUUGCAGCAGGCGGGAGCAAGAAGGGCUCUUUAACACCAUUAAGCUGUGAGAAACCCUGACAGUGAGGACCUGACUUCAUGCAAUAUGAAGUUGAAGAAAAAUAUUUAAAGAGAGAAGAUGCCUUCCUGUAUCACAAACCAGCAUCACCAUGUGUGACAAGCAGUUAGCUGCCACCUUCAUCCUGACUGCACACUCCAGCUCUUGGAGCAUGGAAUUAGGUGGCCCCCAAAACCAGAGCUGUGAUUCCUGCAGGAAAGCAGGAUCCAUGGCUGGGACCAGAUCUGGGGCAGUAUGCCAAGCUCUUCUGACAAUUUGGCCUAAACUGUAAUUACCAGGACUGGUGGCUGCCUGCUGCUGAAAAUCUGCUGCAAUAUUCCGGGUGCUGAACAUUUGGACAAUCCCAAGAUACAGGCCAGCCAGUCAGGGCAGUGCUGCCUUGGUUUGAGUGUGACAUGAAGGACAGCAGAACAGGCUGCUUGUGAAGGAAAGCAAAAAGGUGUUCAGAGUAAGAGACACUGUUUAUUCAAGACUCCAAAUAUCUGGUGAAACCAAACCAAACCAGGAGUCUUACUGAAAAAUGUCAAGCAUACAUAUUUUUGUGUAACAAAUAAAAAGUACUAAAUCACUUUCACAACAGUCUGAGGUAUCUUUAAGACUACCAUGUCCUCAGUUCCUGUGGAAGAGAUUUGAACCUAGAACCUUCCAGCUGCUCUAGAUAAACAUCCUCGCUUCCAUGCAGAGCUGGGUUCUCUUGGCCAUGCUCUGCAUUUCACUGGACAAGCUGGGAACAUUGCAAGCUGAUGAAGAAGAAAAACUGCUGAACUGCUUUGGAGCUCUUAGUGGUGAAAUUCAUUACAAUUUAAUGAUUUUUUUUUUUCCCAUUCAUUUUAAAGCUGUGUAUGAACUACUUCAGAAUGUCAUUAUCAUCUGUUUUUUAAUUUUUUUUCCAUAUUCUAAACACUCUCUGCUUGGCACACCCUGUAUAGGGAAGUUUGUACAGGAUAACACAUACAGGAUUGUGGUAACCACUCUAUAAAGAUGUAAAUUGCAGACAUUGCCACAGUACCUACAAACUAUAUUCUGUCAAAUUUACCUUCAAACAGUGAUGUCAGCUGCCCCCAAGCAUGUCUGGAUGACCCCACAUGUGUUAGCAAUACACUGCAAUGGCACACAUGUGUU